rnacentral:lncRNA from 1 species
AAUAAGCAGCUAAAAGCUUUGAAGAAAUUGAACUUUUUUUUUUUUAAAUUAAAAAUAGUGAAUCGGUGACUAUAUUCUUGUUCUAUUUUAUCUUUAAUUUCUAAAAAUCUUCUGUUAACUUAUUGCGCGUAACAAAAGUUAAACAUUGGAGGAUUUAAAAUUAUAUCUGAAGGACUAUUUAAUAGUAAAAAAAAGAGAGAAAACUUAAAUUGAGAACUGAUUGGUGCAGUGUAAUUGCAUCAACUACUCCAGACACAGUGAAAAUAAACUCUUUAAGAUGGCUUAACAUUAACACCUUUAAGUAAGGGCU